AGAAUCGUUUGAUCAUAAUCAAGAGUUAAGAUAUCCUACUGCGUGUAACUGCCACCUUUUUGUGCUUAGCACUAGCUAAUUGCCUCAUUUUAAUUACAACCGAUCUUCAAAAUGAUAAUCAUACUUUCAAAAAGUUAACCAUAAAAUAUUGCAUUGGUAAGCGAGAAAAAGUGUUUAAAAAAUCUCUCUAAAUCUUAAAAAAUCUCUCUAACGAUAUGUUUUCAAGGUGUAUAUUGGUGGAAAAAAAAAUCGAAAAUCAAUUUAAAGGUGUAUAUUCAAAUGGGUUAUGAUCAUCGUCCGUGCAGUUUCAAUUGCAGGAAGUCCAGUGACCAUCACAACCAUUCAAUCCAUCUUUUCCUCUCUCUCCUGCUUAAACCAAAUGUUGUGAUUUAUUUGAAUAUUAACUUUGCAGGAGACAAUUUGCUCCCCCAUUUAAUAAUAUGUAUUUUAAUAUGUAUAUAUUUGUCUCGCUUGCAUAAUGCAGAUUUUCGUGUCUAUUGACCCAAUCAUCAUUUUGGUCGGAUUGUUUAGGCCCAUACUUACAAAGAGUUAUAUUAUUUAAGGUUCUUCAACAUGCUUUGAAAAUUUUAGGACUUUAAAGCAUAUCGAAGGACAUAAAGAGAACUCGUCAUAACAUUUUAUUUUAUUUUUACUAAAAGCGCUAUAGUAUAGCAUUAUACAUUUAUAAUGAACGUUAAUAUAUACCUAAUCAUUAACAAAAAUAAUUUUAUAAAAUUGUAAUACUCUUUUAUUUAUUGUUUUUUUUAAUUUGUGU
rnacentral:lncRNA from 1 species